rnacentral:lncRNA from 1 species
CUUUUCGAGGUAGGAGUCGACUCCUGUGAGGUAUGGUGCUGGGUGCAGAUGCAGUGUGGCUCUGGAUAGCACCUUAUGGACAGUUGUGUCCCCAAGGAAGGAUGAGAAUAGCUACUGAAGUAAGUUGAAAAUUCCCUCUCAAAAAGGUUUAAAGCCAUUGGAUGUGCCACAAUGAUGACAGUUUAUUUGCUACUCUUGAGUGCUAGAAUGAUGAGGAUCUUAACCACCAUUAUCUUAACUGAGGCACCCAAAAUGGUGAGUUGGGGAACAUAGAGAGUACACCUAAGUUCACAUGAAGUUGUUUCUUCCCAGGUCCUAAAGAGCAAGCCUAACUCAAGCCAUUGGCACACAGGCAUUAGACAGAAAGCUGGAAGUUGAAAUGGUGGAGUCCAACUUGCCUGGACCAGCUUAAUGGUUCUGCUCCUGGUAACGUUUUUAUCCAUGGAUGACUUGCUUGGGUAAGGACAUGAAGACAGUUCCUGUCAUACCUUUUAAAGGUAUGGAGAGUCGGCUUGACUACACUGUGUGGAGCAAGUUUUAAAGAAGCAAAGGUAUAGCAGUUCCAAGUAUUUUUUUUUUUUUUUUAGACAAGAGUCUAGCUCUUGCCCAGAAUGGAGUGCAGCGGCACUAUCAGUUCACUGCAACCUCUGCCUCCCAGGUUCAAGGAAUUCUCCUGCCUCAGCCUCUUGAGUAGCUGGGAUUACAGGCAUGUGACACCAUGCCUGGCUAAUUUUGUACAGCUAUGUUGUCCAGGCUGGUCUCGAACUCUUGACCUCAAGUGAUACUGCCCGCACUGACCUCCCAAAGUGCUGGGAUUACAGGCGUGAGCCACCAUGCCCCGCCUCAAGUCUGGUUUUUAAGUGUUGUAAAGCCGAUACAAUGAUGAUAACAUAGUUCAGCAGACUAACGCUGAUGAGCAAUAUUAAGUCUUUCGCUCCUAUCUGAUGUAUCUGGCGGUAACAUUCUAGUUUAUGCCCCGAAAAGGGGAAUAUAGCCAUUCUAUAAUGUUUGGAGAUUUUGGAUUACUCCUAAUUGUAUGCAAGUUGUCUUACUGUGUAUUGUCCCUUAAUUUCAGGACUCAGAAUUCAUGAUUGAAGAAAUGCAGGUUAGUUUAAACUUUGAAGGAAAUUUUUAAGGUGGCAAAAGGUUUUGGUGGCAUAUACACCUUAAUCUGUAGAUGGGAGUGAUUAGCUGUUUAAAAGUUAAAAUGUGACUGAGAAGGAAAUUGAGUAGGGCAAAUUUUAAAUGGGUAUUAUUUUUCAUCUUCAAACAGGCAGACCUGUUAUCCUAAACUAGGUGAGUCAGCUUUUGGUACAUGUGAUGAUUUUCAGUGUAACCAAUGAUGUAAUGAUUCUGCCAAAUGAAAUAUAAUGAUAUCACUGUAAAACCGUUCCAUUUUGAUUCUGAGGUUACUCUACUAACAAGCAUCACACAUUUGUAUUUUGCCCUGAUUAAUAUGUUGGCUUCGCUUUCAGGGUUUUUAAUGACCACAACAAGCAAGCAUGCAGCUUACUGCUUGAAAGGGUCUUGCCUCACCCAAGCUAGAGUGCAGUGGCCUUUGAAGCUUACUACAGCCUCAAACUUCUGGGCUCAAGUGAUCCUCAGCCUCCCAGUGGUCUUUGUAGACUGCCUGAUGGAGUCUCAUGGCACAAGAAGAUUAAAACAGUGUCUCCAAUUUUAAUAAAUUUUUGCAAUCCA